GGCGGUGUAGCUUAGCUGGCUAGAGCGUUCGGUUCAUACCCGAAAGGUCGGGGGUUCGAGCCCCUCCGCCGCUACCA
rnacentral:tRNA from 1 species